rnacentral:lncRNA from 1 species
CCGUGGCUUCUGGAGUCUUCUAGAUGGUAGAAAAUUGUGCGGUGCGUUGAUAUCUCUAUGUAAUCCUGACAUGUGGACCUUUCUUCCUUAUUUCCUGAUAACCCCCUGCAGAAAUAGACAAACACCAAAACUCGUGGAAUUCUGUCAGAUAAAACCCUAAGUCUAGAUGUUGAUUUCAUUUGGAUCCUUUUCUUUGUUUAUUUGAUAAUUAAAUUUGAUACUUAAGGACCGUCAACAAACUCCCCCAAGCUUACCUCUUGCUCGUCCCUGAGCAAGGAUGAACUCAAGAGUUUCUGCAGUGGUUUCAUUUCUUAGAAGUACACACGUAUUUAAGCAAGAUCUCAUCUCUGAGUUAGAAUAAACUGUUAAGACUUAAAACUUACUUACUUUACCUACACCAUAGGACUUGUAACCGUUACUUCUGUCUUGAGUGGUUAAAAGAUAGAACAGUCUAGCCAAGUGCCAUGUCUCUUAUUCUUGAUCAGCUAUAGCUCUGGGGUUUUUGCAGAUUUUCAAAUAAAACUCAGAAAUUCCUUGUAUGAUUCUCUCAGGUCUCUCUUUUGUGGUAUUUUUGGAUCCUUACCAAGGCAGUGAUGGUAUAUGCCUUCUCUCAAGAUGUGUAGUAUUUGUGGUAUGAAGCAUAGUGACAUUGUCUUCUCUCUCACCCUACUCUAAUAAGGCUUUAAUAUCUGGAGCUCAUAGGUGGGAGAUAAAGUAUACAUACUUACAAGACAUUUAUUGCAUAGUCAAACCAUGGAUCCAAAUAAACAGAUCAAUAAGCCAAAUCAAGAUGUGCAUGUGUGGUGAAUGAAUGGUGUAUGGUAAUGAUGGUGAUAACAAUGGUGGUGGAAGUCUAAUUCUACUUUGCUCUUUGAGGGGAUACAUACCUUCCUUGCUUUUGAAACUUUAUGAGGAGAAUGAGAUGCUCUUCUUUUUCUUUUCUUUCGAGGUUCCGAGCACUUGCUCCUUUUUAUUUCCUCGUAUCUUUUAUUUUCUUUUUCUCUCUCUUUUUUUAAGAGCAUUCAUCUCUUGAGAUAAUAUAGCAAGUGGUAGUAACAAGAUAACUUGAGCAUUUAUUUCACAAGGGGAAACAGAAAUAUUUUUGGUUAUUCUCUCCCGGAUUAGGAGUAGAAUACUUUUGGGUGGUUUUGGAGAUGGAAAUGAGUGGAUAUAUGUGGAUGGUACUUCCGGAGUAGAAGUAGCAUGUAUGAGUGAACGUGCAAGUGAAUCUUGAUUUAACCACAUGACAAGCUCCUAAGGGUCUACACAGCUUGAGCACACUCAAUGCUCAUAAGCAGUAAAUAGUAAAUGUGUGGCUCAAGGUCUAGCAAGCAUGUAUAUAUGGCUGUGGUAGGAAUUUAAACUCUCAUCAUACAGGAACUCAUCAUGCAACAUUUUAAAGAUUUUCAAAGAUAAAAUUCUCCAGAAUUCUAGCAUCUCUAGGAACAGAUAAAAAGCAGCUCAACCUUCCCAUAUCGUAUCCGUUAACAACUUAGACUUCAGAUCAAGUUUUCAUCCCACAAGUUUAGGUCUAGAGCAAGCCUUAAAUUAUAACAGUUAUAUCUAAACUUGAGAGAGAACUUCAAAUUUGCAAAUUAGGCAGAGCAACUAUUCAUCAUAUCCAUGCUUAAGUUUUAUUAGAUACAGAUUAGCAUAGCCACUUUAUUUAUUUAUUAAACACACUAAGCAAAAUAUAUAUAAGCAUAAAAUCUUUAUUUGGUUUUUCAUAGUUAUGUGUAUUUAUAUUCUAAUAUAGUAUAAGUAUAAAGAUAGAUUAAAAUACUUAUCGAGAUAAAUGGGGGUGCUCUCCACCAAGCUGGAUUUUGACGUAAUUUCUUCUGAUGUAGCUAGCAGGUGGUGGAGGUGUAUUUGAAAGUCGGCAGCACCCUGGCAACGAUUAGGAUGUCCUCCGUCUGCUAGUCUUCUUUGAUCCCUGAAUUCUGUGGAGCUCAAAUAGACAACAAAGCUUUGUGGAACUGGUUAAGUGUUAGCAUAGAUAUCUAGCCUUUAUCAUGUUGAGCCUCCUCAAUAAAUGUUACUCUCUUUAGUAGGAUCGUAAAUUUAUUUUUAUAUUUUUAUAUUUAUAGGACAAGAAUAUAUUUAUUUUAUUUUUACGCCACCACAGUGAAUGUACUUAUGGGUUUUAUGCCACUCGUAUACUCACAUGGGGCUUACUGUUUUUUAACAUUUUUAUUUUCUUUUUAAGAUAACAUGAACCUGAUUAACUAAGCAAACUAUUUUAAAUAAUUAAAAGGAAAAGGAUAACUACCAAGUUUACCUCUUGGCAAGGCGUUCGGUGUUUUUAAGUCCUCCGAAUGAGACUCCUUGUGUUUUCAGUCGUCCUGGGAUUCGCUAGGUGGCGUAGUUGGUGAUUCCGGUGGCGCCUCCUCUUUGUGUAUAACUAUGUUCUCUUUCCACACCUGACUCGGUGCUACGGUCUCCUCAGGACAGUUCUGUUCAAGUUGUAUGUCUUCAGUCCUUAUCACUUCUCCUUCGUAGUCUGCCCAUCCAUCCUUGAUGAUUUGCCUCCUCUGGUUGCGGUUGCGUUAUCUUCUUCUUGUCUUGACCUGCUUAGAAUCUUCAACUAUAUAGUUAGAAUUAUUAAAGUAGUGGCGUACCUUCUCAGAGGAGAAGUUUAUGUGGACUUCUCCGGUUCCAAUAUAGAUGAUGGUUUUGAUAGUGUUGAGGAACGGUCUUCUAAGGAUGGUGGGUGGAUCAUACUUGUCUUCUCCUAUGUCAAUGACCUGAAAAUUGUUUGAAGCUGAAUGUAUCUUGGUUGUAGGGGCAUGGUUCCAUGCAGGAGCUAAUAAGUGACUGCGGCCAUCAUGUUGUCGUCAGAUCCGGUGUCGUAGAGUGUCUUCUAAAAAGAGUAUGCAUUGUUUAUGCAUUCGAUUCUUGGAACACCAGGGUUGUCCUUCUUGAUCAAGAAAGGUGACUUGAGUCGACGAUCUUGACCUCCUUGAGCUGCAGUGACCAUCUUAGCUGACUCGGUCCACAUUUGCUUGUUCCUGUUCCUCCUGUUGGUCCUCUUCCUUGGUUAAUGUCGGGAUUGCUCUGAAGUUUGUGUAGUCUUGUUCUUAAAGGAAAGUCUCCUUCUUCUCCUUGAUGUAGAGACUGAUCUUGGCAGCAUUAGCGUAGAUGACAGCUCUGGUGUUUAGGAAUGUUUAGGAAUGGCCUCCCUAAGAUGAUGGGUGCCCUCUCCUCAGUACCAGUCUCUAUCACCACGAAGUUUGCUGGAGCGUACAAGGUACCAACUCGAACACAGAGGUUCUUCAAUAUUUCCUUUGGGAAACUAAGUGUCUGAUCUCCAUUGUGUUUGUGCUCGUAGAUCCCGGUUCUUCACUUGGUGGAAUUUGGGAGUUGUAAAACUCCUCCAUGUUUUGUUUGAAGUGUACCUAUUUAUAGAGACAAGGCAGAGAUCAAGUGCAUGGGCCCUGUUGGUGAAAAACACCAACAGAACCAAAAGUGUAUUUGUUCUUUUCCAACCUUAAGCAUAGUGAGCAAGACAAAGUUGAUGGAUCAUGAGUGUAGCAUUUAAAACAUUUGUUAGAUCAGAUGGCUCAACCUAAUGGAAAGAUAAUCUAUCUAUAUUUAUGUUUUGUUUAUAUCUUCCAAAGAUUGAAUGCGCAAUGUUUUAGCUUAUAUGAUUAGGAGUGUGGGAUCACGAUGGU